rnacentral:rRNA from 1 species
UACGGAGGAUCCGAGCGUUAUCCGGAUUUAUUGGGUUUAAAGGGCGCGUAGGCGGUUUGACAAGUCUGAUGUGAAAUCUCUGGGCUCAACCCAGAGUCUGCAUUAGAAACUGUCGGGCUUGAGUAUGGGAGAGGUGAGUGGAAUUUCCGGUGUAGCGGUGAAAUGCGUAGAUAUCGGAAGGAACACCUGUGGCGAAAGCGGCUCACUGGACCAUAACUGACGCUGAGGCGCGAAAGCUAGGGGAGCAAACAGG